CCUACGGGGGGCUGCAGUGGGGAAUAUUGGACAAUGGGGGCAACCCUGAUCCAGCCAUGCCGCGUGUGUGAAGAAGGCCCUCGGGUUGUAAAGCACUUUCAGUGAGGAAGAACGCCUGGUGGUUAAUACCCAUCAGGAAAGACAUCACUCACAGAAGAAGCACCGGCUAACUCCGUGCCAGCAGCCGCGGUAAUACGGAGGGUGCGAGCGUUAAUCGGAAUUACUGGGCGUAAAGCGCGCGUAGGUGGCUUGAUAAGCCGGUUGUGAAAGCCCCGGGCUCAACCUGGGAACGGCAUCCGGAACUGUCAAGCUAGAGUGCAGGAGAGGAAGGUAGAAUUCCCGGUGUAGCGGUGAAAUGCGUAGAGAUCGGGAGGAAUACCAGUGGCGAAGGCGGCCUUCUGGACUGACACUGACACUGAGGUGCGAAAGCGUGGGUAGCAAACAGGAUUAGAUACCCCGAGUAGUC
rnacentral:rRNA from 1 species